rnacentral:rRNA from 1 species
AGAGUUUGAUCAUGGCUCAGGACGAACGCUGGCGGCGUGCCUAAUACAUGCAAGUCGAGCGAGCGGAACUAACAGAUUUACUUCGGUAAUGACGUUAGGAAAGCGAGCGGCGGAUGGGUGAGUAACACGUGGGGAACCUGCCCCAUAGUCUGGGAUACCACUUGGAAACAGGUGCUAAUACCGGAUAAUAAAGCAGAUCGCAUGAUCAGCUUUUAAAAGGCGGCGUAAGCUGUCGCUAUGGGAUGGCCCCGCGGUGCAUUAGCUAGUUGGUAAGGUAAAGGCUUACCAAGGCGAUGAUGCAUAGCCGAGUUGAGAGACUGAUCGGCCACAUUGGGACUGAGACACGGCCCAAACUCCUACGGGAGGCAGCAGUAGGGAAUCUUCCACAAUGGACGCAAGUCUGAUGGAGCAACGCCGCGUGAGUGAAGAAGGUUUUCGGAUCGUAAAGCUCUGUUGUUGGUGAAGAAGGAUAGAGGUAGUAACUGGCCUUUAUUUGACGGUAAUCAACCAGAAAGUCACGGCUAACUACGUGCCAGCAGCCGCGGUAAUACGUAGGUGGCAAGCGUUGUCCGGAUUUAUUGGGCGUAAAGCGAGCGCAGGCGGAAGAAUAAGUCUGAUGUGAAAGCCCUCGGCUUAACCGAGGAACUGCAUCGGAAACUGUUUUUCUUGAGUGCAGAAGAGGAGAGUGGAACUCCAUGUGUAGCGGUGGAAUGCGUAGAUAUAUGGAAGAACACCAGUGGCGAAGGCGGCUCUCUGGUCUGCAACUGACGCUGAGGCUCGAAAGCAUGGGUAGCGAACAGGAUUAGAUACCCUGGUAGUCCAUGCCGUAAACGAUGAGUGCUAAGUGUUGGGAGGUUUCCGCCUCUCAGUGCUGCAGCUAACGCAUUAAGCACUCCGCCUGGGGAGUACGACCGCAAGGUUGAAACUCAAAGGAAUUGACGGGGGCCCGCACAAGCGGUGGAGCAUGUGGUUUAAUUCGAAGCAACGCGAAGAACCUUACCAGGUCUUGACAUCUAGUGCCAUUUGUAGAGAUACAAAGUUCCCUUCGGGGACGCUAAGACAGGUGGUGCAUGGCUGUCGUCAGCUCGUGUCGUGAGAUGUUGGGUUAAGUCCCGCAACGAGCGCAACCCUUGUUAUUAGUUGCCAGCAUUAAGUUGGGCACUCUAAUGAGACUGCCGGUGACAAACCGGAGGAAGGUGGGGAUGACGUCAAGUCAUCAUGCCCCUUAUGACCUGGGCUACACACGUGCUACAAUGGGCAGUACAACGAGAAGCGAGCCUGCGAAGGCAAGCGAAUCUCUGAAAGCUGUUCUCAGUUCGGACUGCAGUCUGCAACUCGACUGCACGAAGCUGGAAUCGCUAGUAAUCGCGGAUCAGCACGCCGCGGUGAAUACGUUCCCGGGCCUUGUACACACCGCCCGUCACACCAUGGGAGUCUGCAAUGCCCAAAGCCGGUGGCCUAACCUUCGGGAAGGAGCCGUCUAAGGCAGGGCAGAUGACUGGGGUGAAGUCGUAACAAGGUAACC